AGGUACAAAUGUUGACAAUGUACCUUGCAGGGAUCAAAAUCGAACCUCAAGGUACUGAUAUGUACCAUUUCUGGAACAUUUAUGUACCUUUUCUAAAUAAAUUCGCAAAAGGACCAUAUAUGUACCUUUGAGGUACAAUCAGUGGCAUGUCACUCAAAAGUUGGGGGAGGAGAUUUGGGAGCAACCGUUAUUUUUUCUUCAAAGUAACUUUUCAGUCACCAAGUGAUGGAGCAGCUUUUAGCAGAGGAGCUUCUGAAGUUUGAGAAAACACGUGUGCAUGAAACAUGUAUUUGGAAGAAGAUGAACGCUUUUCAGAGAUUAUGGGCGGAAUACGUGGGGGAAAUGAAGUAGGCUACCUCUCCUAAAGGAUCUAAUGGCUACAGCAGCAUUCAUGAAGAUGAGGUGAAAAAAGAAGUGAGAAGUUUGGGGUCAGUCCAUGGAACUCAUUGCAGAUCCAAGAUAGACUUCUAACCCCUGCGGCCAUUAGUGAGGAUACUACUGCUGUUGAAAGAUAUGAGAACAUCUCUGUGCACAUUUGUGGGCGGCGAAGAUUUGCGUUAUUGACGUGCGGCCCCAAUUGUUGGGAAGCACACAACACUCCUGCAUGCUGCAUUGCAAUUUUCGUUAAGCACCGCAUGCUUGGGACGCAUAUCACAGCCUUAAGUCAAAGUGGGAUGGAGUAGACAUGCUCAGAGGAAGAGAAACUGAAGAGGGGGUAACAGCAGCCUCCACUGCAUUCUUUCUCUUUAGCAUUACUUAGCACCCUUUCUUGAACAAUAUGCUGGCUUUCUUCCAGUUAGAUAUUGGACUUAAGUGUCUUUUUAGACUCUGCCUUUUUUAACACCACACCCUAUUCCACCUAUUUGUAAGGAUUGGAAUUUGGGAACAUUGCAACAUUUCAUUGUGUGCUUUUUUUCUAGCUAAUUGCUCACUGGUUUAAAUGUUGCUGUAUGAUUCAUUACACCACACUAACAUACUGUAUAUUGUCCUCUCCAUUUAAAAAAAGUUCCAGUGUUUAAAGAUUCAGACACCUGCAUUCAAAGUUGAUCCAUGUUAAACCAUCAUGUACAUUGUUGGACUAUCAUGUACAUUUUUUGUUGUUGUGAUGUUUGGAAUUUAAUGGAAAAUAAUUUAUUGUAUUACACCAUAUUGAA